rnacentral:lncRNA from 1 species
UUUUUUUUUCCAGGAAAAAUGAAGGGUAAAUUUUGGGGUAUUACAGCUGCCCCUAUUCAAUCAACUGGAGACCCGGAAAGAAGAUGGCAGCUGCUUUCGUACUUUCGAGGUAUCAAGGGAUUGAAUACAAUAAAAGCCCAAAAAUUUGCACUGAAGUGAAGUGAAGUAACAAUGUCUGUCAGAAUCGGCAAAGAGGUGGUCUUGAAAG